AACGGGCUCUUCGGAGCUAGUGGCGGACGGGUGAGUAACGCGUGAGGAUCUGCCCUUAGGACGGGGACAACAGCUGGAAACGGCUGCUAAUACCCGAUGUGCCGAGAGGUGAAACUAUUUGGCCUGAGGAUGAGCUCGCGUCUGAUUAGCUAGUUGGAGUGGUAACGGCACACCAAGGCGACGAUCAGUAGCUGGUCUGAGAGGAUGAUCAGCCACACUGGGACUGAGACACGGCCCAGACUCCUACGGGAGGCAGCAGUGGGGAAUUUUCCGCAAUGGGCGAAAGCCUGACGGAGCAAGACCGCGUGCGGGAGGAAGGUCUAUUGAUUGUAAACCGCUUUUGAUAGGGAAGAAGAUCUGACGGUACCUAUCGAAUCAGCAUCGGCUAACUCCGUGCCAGCAGCCGCGGUAAUACGGGGGAUGCAAGCGUUAUCCGGAAUUAUUGGGCGUAAAGCGUCCGUAGGUGGUUUUAAAAGUCUGUUGUCAAAUCGCGAGGCUUAACCUCGUACAGGCAGUGGAAACUAUAAGACUAGAGUGCGGUAGGGGUAGAGGGAAUUUCCAGUGUAGCGGUGAAAUGCGUAGAUAUUGGAAAGAACACCGGUGGCGAAGGCGCUCUACUGGGCCUGCACUGACACUGAGGGACGAAAGCUAGGGGAGCGAAAGGGAUUAGAUACCCCUGUAGUCCUAGCCGUAAACGAUGGAAACUAGGUGUUGCCCGUAUCGACCCGAGCCGUGCCGAAGC
rnacentral:rRNA from 1 species